AAUGUGGAUGAUGAGAACGUUACCUUAGGUAGGUUUUUGUUUUGACCGUUUUGGUCAAUGCGUUUGGCCUACCAAUGCUAGGAUUUGUCAUAGUUACACUGACACAUU